rnacentral:rRNA from 1 species
CCGUAUAGUUUGAUCCUGGCUCAGGACGAACGCUGGCGGCGUGCCUAAUACAUGCAAGUCGAGCGGACAGAUGGGAGCUUGCUCCCUGAUGUUAGCGGCGGACGAGUGAGUAACACGUGGGUAACCUGCCUGUAAGACUGGGAUAACUCCGGGAAACCGGGGCUAAUACCGGAUGGUUGUUUGAACCGCAUGGUUCAAACAUAAAAGGUGGCUUCGGCUACCACUUACAGAUGGACCCGCGGCGCAUUAGCUAGUUGGUGAGGUAACGGCUCACCAAGGCAACGAUGCGUAGCCGACCUGAGAGGGUGAUCGGCCACACUGGGACUGAGACACGGCCCAGACUCCUACGGGAGGCAGCAGUAGGGAAUCUUCCGCAAUGGACGAAAGUCUGACGGAGCAACGCCGCGUGAGUGAUGAAGGUUUUCGGAUCGUAAAGCUCUGUUGUUAGGGAAGAACAAGUACCGUUCGAAUAGGGCGGUACCUUGACGGUACCUAACCAGAAAGCCACGGCUAACUACGUGCCAGCAGCCGCGGUAAUACGUAGGUGGCAAGCGUUGUCCGGAAUUAUUGGGCGUAAAGGGCUCGCAGGCGGUUUCUUAAGUCUGAUGUGAAAGCCCCCGGCUCAACCGGGGAGGGUCAUUGGAAACUGGGGAACUUGAGUGCAGAAGAGGAGAGUGGAAUUCCACGUGUAGCGGUGAAAUGCGUAGAGAUGUGGAGGAACACCAGUGGCGAAGGCGACUCUCUGGUGUGUAAGUGACGCUGAGGAGCGAAAGCGUGGGGAGCGAACAGGAUUAGAUACCCUGGUAGUCCACGCCGUAAACGAUGAGUGCUGAGUGUUAGGGGGUUUCCGCCCCUUAGUGCUGCAGAUAACGCAUUGAGACUCCGCCUGGAGAC